UCUUUUGUUCAUGUUGUAAUUUGAGGCAACUGUCUGGCAAUCCUUGGAUUUCUGUUCUUGUUUAAGAAAGAGACUUAAGAAAUUGUGUGAAUGGGAGAGGCUUGUCAACCAGCAAGGAACAGAUUGCAGCUUCCAAGAGCUGUGUAUAUAGAGAGGGGAGAGAUGGUAGGACUCACCUGCCUCCUCACAUGGCUUGAGGAGCCGUGUCUCCAACCUGGGUUCAAGUCCUGGUCCCCUUCCUGGGCAACCUUGACACACAUGGAGAAAAUGGAUUCAUUCUCAGCUUCCGUUAUCACCACGCUGUUUUUGAUUCCCCAAUCUGCAUGUCCUUUUUUCUCGACCAUAUGGCCAGAUACCUUUGUAGUUGAAAUAUUUAAGAUUCCUAUACCCCACUAUUUCCCAUUACCAUCCCCCACUCUUCCCUUAAUCAGGCAGCCAGACCAGAGGAUGACUAGAUAUCUAUUCCAUGGCAAAUAGAUGGGAAACAGUGGAAAGAGUGACAGACUUUAUUUUCUUGGGCACCAGAAUGACUGCAGCCAUGAAAUAAAAAGACGCUUCCUCCUUCAAAGGAAGGCUAUGACAAACCUAGACAGUGUAUUAAAAAGCAGAGAUGUUACUUUGCCGACAAAGGUCUGUCUAGUCAAAGCUAUGGUUUUUCCAGUAGUCAUGUAUGGAUGUGAGAGUUAUACCAUAAAGAAAGCUGAGCGCUGAAGAAUUGAUGUUUUUGAACUGUGGUGGUGAAGAAGACUCUUGAGAGUCCUUUGGACUGCAAGGAGAUCCAACCAGUCAAUCCUAAAGGAAAUCAAUCCUGAAUAUUCAUUGGCAGGAGUGAUGCUGAAGCUCCAAUACUUUGGCCACCUGACACGAAGGGCUGACUCAUUGGAAAAGACCCUAAUGCUGGAAAAGAUUGAAGGCAAGAGGAGAAGGGGACGAUAGAGGAUGAGAUGGCUGGAUGGCAUCACUGACUGAAUGGGCAUGAGUUUGAGCAAGAUCUGGGAGUUGGUGACAGACAGGGAAGCCUGGUGUGCUGCAGUCCAUGGGGUCAGAAAGGGUCGGACACAACUGAGCAACUGAACUGAGACCAGAGGACUUUCGAUGCCUCAAUUAGUAGAGGAAAAACUUUUGACACUUCAAAGU
ensembl:lncRNA